rnacentral:lncRNA from 1 species
UUUUUUUUUUUUUUUUUUUUUAUAUAUCAGAUAAUGGAAAAUUUUAGCCUUGUUAAGAAAUCUGAGGAUAUUAUAUUACAGAAUUAUAAUUUUGCCAAUAUUCAAUAAUAAUUUUUCACCAACUGAUGAGCUUUGUUUCUCCAUUUGCAAAGACAAAAAGGAAAAUACCUUCACUCAUUCACUAAGUAUGUGGAUAGAGUGGUGACUGUUCAUUUUCACAGGAAGAGUUCAAACAUGUAAUGGACAUAAGAAACAUUCAUCACAUAUUUGUAUGCAUACAGGCUCUCUUCCAUUUCACUUGUAAGGGUUAGGGAGAGGUAGUGGAGAGACUGCCCUUGUGAGUGUGCAUAUCCUGAGGGCUGUUAAACAAAACAUUUUGCAUUAAACACUUUGAUGGCCUGACGUCUUUUUUAACAGCAUUAUGCAGGUAGUCUGUUCAUUUUGGGCAUACCAAGUACACUACAGUACCAUCCACAAUUAAUAAAGCACAGAAAGGGGUCCCCACAAAUAGCAAUAGCAAGUCAUGCUAUUGCUGACUUUUUAUUUAAUAACCAGUUUUUAAAGGUAGAAACAGGACAGGCUUAUGGGUAAGGCACUGAUCUGAACUGCCAAAAGCUGGGCUCAGUUCCUGACUCUGCCACAAGUAUCCUCUCUGUCAUGGUACAUGCUGUUUGGGAUACAGGUACGCCCUGCAGAAGGUUGAGUCUGACAUCAAACCCGUUUUGCACUGAUAUUGCAUGGAUGCAAUGCCAUGCUCAGAUGCUUGGCUUUACUCCAGCUGGAGAGAAAAGUGAGCCUCUUGCUACGAUGGAUGGUGAUGUAAAUAUGCCCUGACCCACCACGUAGGGAUGUUAUUCCAGCUGCCUUCAUGGUGAUAGCAGGUAGCAGGCAGCUGAGAGACCUUUUCCAAACAUAUCCCAAGUACUUCCCAUAAAAGCAAACAGGCUUCAUGGGUUGCUGCCCAAACUGUCUUUACAGCUCUAAGUGUAUGUUGCAGGAAGGCACAGAUACCUGUGCCCCAGGCUGAGGGGGCUGCGGUCCUCACCCAGCUCAUCAGGUUUUGGGAUCCUAAUGAGCUGGGCAUGGGUUAAACUAUUAAAUUUGGUUGAAAUUGGCCAGAAGUUGUUUGUUGGGAAACCGGCAGACAGAUAUAUUCAUACUAUGGUUGCAUAAACCUAGUUUCCUAAGGAAACUGGAUUAAGAAAUUAGGAUGAUAGCACCUGCCUACCAUACAAGGAUUUUAUGAGAAUAAAAGCUUUUCUGGUGGUGAACUGCUCAUGUGUUUCAGGAAUGGAGAAAAUGCAAAUUCCUAGACAACUGGAUUAAUUUUGGCAUUUUUCCUUCUAUUUUGAAGUUGUGUACUGCAAAUGGUUACACAUGAGCAGAUCUUUUGAGACAGUAACUCUGCUAAUACAAACUGUGUUUGAAGUAUCAGCAACUACUGAAAUGGAAAGAGAUUCAGAUUUUGUCUGCUGAACUGCUAAGUGUGUGUGUGGCAAAACACAAGAAUUUCUACUUAUUUUUUCCAUGAAGAGAGCAUAUUUAGAGCACAGCACUACUUCCUUUCUCCAGAAAGUUCAUCAAUUGAAAGCAAACAAAUAUACCUUUCAUAUUUCAAAUUGUAGUGUGUUUCCUUGCCUUGAACUUGAAAACAAAAUGUUGUGUGUAAUAAUGGGAAAAUCUUGGCUUCCAAACAGAAGCAGGUGUGAGCCUUAGCUGCACAAAGCAUUGGUCUUCCUGAGUAGAAAGGUAAGUAGCAGUAAAUAGUUAAAGCCCAGGUUCAUGUGGAGUCCAAGCACUUCCAACAGAAAUCAGGAAGAAUUUUGGAAGGUAUUUCUAAGGCUGAUAGCCUAAAAGCUUCCACUUCACAGUACUCCAGUGCCACAGGGGAUGAAACUCUGGAAACUCUUCAGUUUUCCAUUUCCAAACCCUGGGCAGGGGUAGCUCAGCUCCCUGAUCACAGGGAAGGUGGCCUCUAAGAGGCCUGGGCAUGCCGGCAUCUGCCUUGGGCUGAAGGUCUUCUGGGACCUUUGUAGGAGGCAUUUCUCCUUGUUGUAUUAUGUCUAAAAAUCAGGUUGCUCACUAACCUAGCAACAUCUCUUUUAAUGCCUAACAGCAGCAGCAGGAUGGGGAAGUGAUGUGCUGCUGUGUGCUGCCUGUCCUGUGGGGAUCCCUUGCAUGUGAGAUGGGACUAAUCAAUCUCCUGACCAGUUUUCCAUGUACUCUGCCUUUGGCAGGCCAAACCCUGUUGCUUAAAAAAAAUAGAAAAUACUUGAUCAGGAAGAAUGAGCUGGUACAUCUUUGUGCUCCUCAGGAGGGAGGAAUACAGGCUCCAGCAUCUUCUUGCACACCUUGCUGGCUCCUCUGUCUGCAAGAAGGGCAGUAGCCUAGGCUGCUGCAGGCAAACAGGGAAGAUGAAUUCCAGUCUCCCACAUGUUAGAUGAGCACUCCUGCAUUGCUGAAUAAAAAAAAUAUAGGUGGCUCUGCCAGCUAGUAUUAAGAGCAUUAAAAAGCAGGUUUGGUCUGCUUUUGAAGGGGAGAGGUCAGCCUCUGGGCUCAGAGGAGAGGGAGUGAUGUCAUGCACGUCUUAAACCAUCUUCCUCCUCAGUGUGGGUGUUUCUGGAGCAUCUCCAAAGACCACUAGCUCUCCCCAUUUUCUGUACCUCAGCACCCAGGGAAAAAGUCUAGACUCCUGUUCUCAUAACAGGCAUCUCAAAUUAGGUAGUGCAAGUCCCGGCACACAGGGAUUUGGCCCGGCAGUGUCUGUGUUUGUUUAAAGAGCUAUAUGCUGAGCCAGGUUAGUGCCUGUUGCAUUAGUCAUAACAAGCUUUCAAGAUUAUAAAUGGGGAAAGUGCUGAGUAACUUGUGAUUCAGCCUUACUAUGAUUUCUGAGUACAUAUUACUAAUACAUUCUGUGUUGUUACACUCCUUCCCCUCCCAGUUUGACCCCUACAUCCGUUCCCCACACAAAUCUGGAGCAGAGAAAGCUCUUCUUAUUUCCAGUAGCUGGUAGGACAUGAGGAGCUGGCUCAUCCUCCACUUGACAUUUUUGUCACUCUCAAAAACUCCUUUGUUUAAAACUAUUUACUCUGUGCUGGGAUGUUUUCUUUGAGAAAUAGUAGUGACAGAAACCAGUCGAUUUAAGGCAAAGUUGCAGGAUCUGUGCCCCUUGCAUGUAGCAAUCAGUAUUUUUUGCCUUUGUAUUUACCAUGAGUUAUGUGCAGAGUUUUUAAAGGAGAGUGAAAAUUCAGCCCAUCAGGUGGUUUCUGCGGUGGAAGCUUGAAUGUUCUCUACAUAUAUAUAAAAAAGACAACUUUGUUUCUUUUGGCAUUAUCUAAAAUGAAGUUAAUGGUGGGUGGAGGCUUCCUGGGAAGGAAAUGUGCAAGGGUAAAAAAUGAAAUUGUGGUGGGCCACCACCCUGUAGGGCCUUGGUGAAAAUGCUGAAUAAUUAUCUGAAUGUUGUGGGUGAUGGAAGUUUGUGUCCUCUUCAGGGAGGGUUUUGCAGAGCAGCAGGGUUUUGCAGGAAAGCCUGUUUGUGCACCUUUGAGUUGGCUGGAAGAGCACAGUCCUAUGCUCCUCAAGCAAGGACAGACACUUACUUGGUGGAAUUUAAUUGAUCAACUUUACUUAUAUUGAGACAUCUGUUAUGUCAAGAAAGGCCUCUUUUGAAGAAAGAAAAAUUAUUUUUGUGGUAAGGGUCUGCGGGCCUGUAGUACUGGAGGAGGUUGGGAUCAGUGAUGCCAGGCUUAGGAGGGGUUUCAGUGCCUGAGUCAUGCUCCUUCCUAAAUGGGGCUGUGGCAGUCCCCAAAACUGGAAGCAGAAUGGCUCCCUUAACAGCUGGGAGAAGAACAGCAACCCCCACAACCUCCUGUUCUCUUUCUCCUGCUUUCUUUCAGGGCCUGCCA